UUAACUCAAAUUUGUAUGAAGUUCGCAAGUUUGCCGCUAGGGGCGCUGUUCCAACUGCAUACAAAUUUGACUUA
rnacentral:pre_miRNA from 1 species